GACAGAGGCCCCAAGCGUUAGGCGGAAUCACUGGGCUUAAAGCGUGUGUAGGCGGACGCCUAAGUGUCUUGUGAAAUCCCACGGCUCAACCGUGGAACUGCUGGGCAUACUGGACAUCUCGAGGCACUCAGGGGCGAGCGGAACAAGUGGUGGAGCGGUGAAAUGCGUAGAUAUCACUUGGAACGCCAAUGGUGAAGACAGCUCGCUGGGGGUGUCCUGACGCUGAGGCGGCGAAAGCCAGGGGAGCGAACGGG
rnacentral:rRNA from 1 species